rnacentral:lncRNA from 1 species
UAUUAAUUAUUGUCAUGUUUCCUACCGAUAGAUGGCGGGACAACUCAGCGUAUAGCGUAUGCGAACGUAGAAAUCGAAUUGAUCAGUAGGAAAUUCAAGUGUCACUGACUGAUUGUUGUACAACUUCUGAUGAGUGACCGUGUGAUGCACCACCCAAUGUUCACAGGCAACACAAUUAUUGAUAAUUUUUUCUUUGGAGAGCACUGCCAGAGCUCCACAAGAUUUGGUAAGGCAAAUGGGGAGUACUGCAGGGCACAACACGGCAACUAAACCUGUAGCCAGAGUGCUUAGGACCUAUAGGCAAUUAUUCAGCCAGAGUAGGCAAUUCUCUCUCAUGUGUGUGUGAUACCGACUAACAAAUUGCACGAAAUCUCGAAUGGGGUAAGCCACGUCAAGUGCACAGCUCGUUGUGAAUUGUGACCAGAACGCGAACCUGGAUCAGCUGUCGGAGUCGUCAGCGUAACUCAACCUGAUUGAACAUAUCAAGCAGAAGCUUAGCAAGAUGAACAGCAGCAAACUGAGCGUCCGGCCAGCUCCGGCCGAGAUCGUG